rnacentral:lncRNA from 1 species
AGCGCGUCUGCGGCCAGUUUUCCGGGUGACGGAGGCUGAAGGUCAGGACUCUCGUGGAAACUGAUGGCCAAAUCUGGGACGGAGACGGGAGGAGAAGGUGGCAUUAUUAGAAGUGUUGCCCUGGAAACAAGACAUCAGGCAGAAGUUCCUAUCACCUGUCUUCAGCAUUCUCAAGACGUGUGCUAAGAAUUCCACGGCAUUAUUUCAAAUCGGGAUGACCUCAGUGUUGCCCAGGCUGUUCCCAGCUAGAAGAGCUGCUCCUGUGUGUUAUGUGACAGCUGCGUUUGCCCACAGGUUGUUGGAACAGCUUUAUGUCAAGAGAAGUCGAAGGCAUGAUGCUUCCAAGUUACUUCAAAGGCUUUUGCCGCAGACUGCCCAAAUAUCGAGUGACACUGGUGUGAGAAAAUCAGGUGGCCGACUUGAGUUACAUCAACCUAUGGAAGGACAACAGGACGACUCUGACUUCACGAGACGCGCACGUGGAGUAGCGAUGGCCGCAGGGGACCCGAAUCCACAGGGAAACUCAGGAACUUAAGUUGUAACUUUCCCGGUUGCGUGUUCAGGAAUUAAAUAUUCUUUAAUUUUUUUUUUUCAACGUUUAUUUAUUUUUGGGACAGAGAGAGACAGAGCAUGAACGGGGGAGGGGCAGAGAGAGAGGGAGACACAGAAUCAGAAACAGGCCCCAGGCUCUGAGCCAUCAGCCCAGAGCCUGAUGCGGGGCUCGAACUCGCGGACCGCGAGAUCGUGACCUGGCUGAAGUCGGACGCUUAACCGACUGCGCCACCCAGGCGCCCCAGGAAU